CCAAUAGCGUAUAUUAAAGUUGUUGCAGUUAAAAAGCUCGUAGUUGAAUUUCGGGGUUAGUAAGUUGGUCGUGCCUAUGGUAUGUACUGGCUUUACUGAUUCCUCCUUCUUGAAGAACUGUAAUGUCAUUAAUUUGGUGUUGCAGGGACACAGGACUGUUACUUUGAAAAAAUUAGAGUGUUUAAAGCAGGCUAACGCCUGAAUACAUUAGCAUGGAAUAAUGAAAUAGGACGUUUGAUCCUAUUUUGUUGGUUUCUAGGAUUGACGUAAUGAUUAAUAGGGAUAGUUGGGGGCAUUAGUAUUCAAUUGUCAGAGGUGAAAUUCUUGGAUUUAUUGAAGACUAACUACUGCGAAAGCAUUUGCCAAGGAUGUUUUCAUUAAUCAAGAACGAAAGUUAGGGGAUCGAAGACGAUCAGAUACCGUCGUAGUCUUAACCAUAAACUAUGCCGACUAGGGAUCGGAUGAUGUUAAUUUUUUAAUGACUCAUUCGGCGCCUUACG
rnacentral:rRNA from 1 species